rnacentral:rRNA from 1 species
UACAGAGGUCCCAAGCGUUGUUCGGAUUCACUGGGCGUAAAGGGUGCGUAGGUGGCCAGGUAAGUUUGGUGUGAAAGCUCGGAGCUUAACUCCGAAAAGUCAUUGAAUACUAUCUGGCUGGAGGGUCGGAGGGAGACUGGAAUUCUCGGUGUAGCAGUGAAAUGCGUAGAUAUCGAGAGGAACACCUGCGGCGAAGGCGGGUUGCUGGGCUGACACUGACGCUGAUGCGCGAAAGCCAGGGGAGCGAACGGG